UACGAGGGGGGCAAGCGUUGUUCGGAAUUAUUGGGCGUAAAGGGUGCGCAGGCGGUUGUGUGUGUCAGGUGUGAAAGCCCGGGGCUUAACCCCGGAAUUGCGCCUGAAACUACAUGACUAGAGCAUUGGAGAGGGUAGCGGAAUUCACGGUGUAGCAGUGAAAUGCGUAGAUAUCGUGAGGAACACCAGAGGCGAAGGCGGCUACCUGGACAAUUGCUGACGCUCAGGCACGAAAGCGUGGGGAGCAAAAGGG
rnacentral:rRNA from 1 species